AGAAAGUUAGCUCACUGGUAGAGCGGUUGGCUCAUAACCAAUUGGUUGUAGGUUCGAUUCCUAUACUUUCACCCA
rnacentral:tRNA from 1 species